rnacentral:rRNA from 1 species
GAUCCUGGCUCAGGAUGAACGCUAGCUACAGGCUUAACACAUGCAAGUCGAGGGGCAGCAUGGUCUUAGCUUGCUAAGGCCGAUGGCGACCGGCGCACGGGUGAGUAACACGUAUCCAACCUGCCGUCUACUCUUGGACAGCCUUCUGAAAGGAAGAUUAAUACAAGAUGGCAUCAUGAGUUCACAUGUUCACAUGAAUUAAAGGUAUUCCGGUAGACGAGUGGGGA